rfam:Shigella dysenteriae Sd197, complete genome.
UCUGAUAAUAGAUGUGUUAGAAAAUUUCUGCAUGGUGAAUCCCCCUGUGCGGAGGGGCGACUGGUGAACGGUAUGAUCUCUUUGAUGAUCGUAAGCGAGAAUACGCGGGUUUGGUGGCACCAGGCCGAACUCACCGGGAGGCACCCGGCACCAUGCAAUGGCACAUAGCGCCACUCUCCAGCCCCUCUCCGGAGGGGCUUUCUUAUGGAC